CACGGGGGGAGCAAGCGUUGUUCGGAAUCACUGGGCGUAAAGGGCGUGUAGGCGGUCAGGUAAGUGGAAUGUGAAAUCCCUCGGCUCACCCGAGGACCUGCAUCCCAAACUGCCUGGCUUGAGUAUGGGAGAGGAUGAGGGAAUUCCUGGUGUAGCGGUGAAAUGCGUAGAUAUCAGGAGGAACACCGGUGGCGAAGGCGCUCAUCUGGCCCAAUACUGACGCUGAAGCGCGAAAGCCAGGGGAGCAAACGGG
rnacentral:rRNA from 1 species